rnacentral:lncRNA from 1 species
UAUUGUUAAGCAUUUUUUUCUUCCAUGAUUUGAGAGCUUCUGAGGCCAGGCAAUGUAUGCCAGGGUCGAAGUCCCUGCAAGGGAGCUUUGAGAGGUCAAUGAAUGAAGCCGUGAUGGUGAGGCCUGGGUUGCAGUGGAGACCUGAAGAUGGAGGAGAUGCCAAAGCCAUGAGACAUCUGCCAAGAACUGCAUAUACGGAGUGGAACCACAAGAGGCUUAUUUAAACAACAAGAUGCUUGGGUUGAAGUGAAAACUAUCUAGGAACAUGUUGUUCAAGAAUAAUUUACACCUACUCAAAGAUCUACCCUACAUGUAACAGCUACAUACGGAAAGGUUACAAAAUUGUCCUUGGUUUUAUGAUGAUAAAUGAAGAACAUUAAAAUUCUCCAACUGAAGAAGUGUGGAAUAAAGUAGCAGUGGCUGGAGCACGUCCAUUGGACCUUCAUCCUACAUUUUGCUGAUUGUUUGCCCAUCCAACUGGAAUCUGAUCUGCCUUAUUGGUGAACUAGUUCACAGUGGGCUUUCAAUAGUUCAGAGAGCGGUAUCUGCCUCUUCAUCUAAAACCUCACCAUACAACCAUCCUGCCCACCACCUUCAAGUUAACAUACUUGUAGUUCUCAGUCUUGACUCCUUCCUGAGCGUGGGAGUCUCCCAAGACGCCCCUUCACAAAACAUGCACCGUGCCCUCACUGCCGGAGACUUUGGAUGAUGUUGGGAUUGUGAAAGACUACGGGGACUUUCGAUGUUGGAAUAAAUGUAUUUUGCAUCGUGAGAUGUCCAUGAGCCUCUGGGGCCAGGGACAAAAUGUAGUGCUUGCAGGAGAGCUGUCCUCUAUAGGUUCAUGCAUUUGAACACUUGCUCCUUAGUUGGUGGCACUGUGUGGGGAGGUUAUCGUACCUCCAAGGAAGCUGAGCCUUGCUAGAAGAAGUACAUCACUGGG